ensembl:lncRNA
CCUUGGACUUCAAAAACAUAAAAAAAAAUAAAUAAAUCUUAAAGACCCUGAAAUUUUUAAUGGUGUGUAUAAUAUAUUUACACACACACACACACACACACACACACACACACACACACACACACACACACACACACACACACACACACACACACACACACACACACACUAAUGAUAAUCUUGAAUAGUCAAGUUGGGUUUGAUUACAGUUACAGUUGAGAGGCCUGUCACUAUGUGUGAGCACUACUACACUUGUUUGGUUACGUGAAAUCAGCUUUUCUGUUGUUGGCAGCGAGGCUUAUGUUCAUAAACAUAUACACGUGAGAAAUUAUCAUGAUGCAGCUCGCUGAAAACACACACACAAUUCCUGUAAUACACUGCAAUCUUUAAUAAUUAAUUUGUUAACAGAUGUAGCCAGUGCUCAGCAUUGUUUCUUUCUGCAUUAUUAAAAUUCUACAAUUUUAUUUGCAUUGUUACAGUACAUUGUAGUUUCUGCAUCUGGUGCAAACAUGUAUAGUGACUGAUGUGACAUGCAAAACUGUGUUCUGAGUUCAUAUCCUGUGCAUCAUGCUGUUGCAUGGAUUGAAGAGUGAUUAUGCAUUAACUUAGAAUCAGAGUCAGAAUCAGAAAGUGUGUUUACACACACAAGGAAUUCGUCUUGGUGUCAGGAGCUUCCAGUACAGGAAGUACAAACAUAGUGCAGACAUAUAAUUUAAGGGAAUAAACUGAAAUAAAACACUAAUGAUAAAGAGAAUACAAUAUGCUAAUAAAAUAUAGAGAAAAAGGAAAUAUCAAUAGACAGAAGUGUGAAUGUGCAUAUGUGCUAUUUAAAGAUGAAAAGUUUUGAUAAGUUAUAUACACAUGUGCAGUCCUGAGAUGUGUUAUGUGUGGUUCAGGUGGGAUAUGGCCUGCGGGAAAAAAAUGAUUGUGUAGAUAGCCAGCUCUUUAACCUCUUGUCUGUAAGCAAACUCCUCACCGUUCUGGAUGAGGCAGAUGACUGUAGUGUGGAGCUUGACAGAGGGGUCAGUAGAGGUGCGGUCGUCUAUGUAGAGGGAGAAGAGCAGUGGGGAGAGAAUAUAACCCUGAGGGGCACCAGUGCUGAUCGUGAGAGUCCUGGAUGUGAGUUUACCCAACUUCAUCCACUUACAGAUGGAGAUCCUUGCAUAAUUCCCAGGUCUGUCGAGGUGUUGCAGAAUAUAAUGCAGUCCCAUGUUAACUGCAUCAUCCAAAGACCUGUGAAGAGGAUCCAGCAAGGGUGCAGAUGUCCUUCAGGUAGGCCAGAAAUGUCCAGUAGUUCAUCUCUGCUAAAACUGAUGACUAAACACAUUAAAAAACAAACAAAAACAGCAAAAGAAUGGAAGAGCUCCACACCGAGGCAGCCAUAAGCUUAAUGUUUUAUACCCAAUUUUAAUGAUGCAUAACCGUAAACACAUUACAUUACAUUCAUUUGGUGUGUAU